ACCAGAAGCAGAUACGGCAGUUUCUUGUUCACUUUAGUUUGGCUGAGAGCUGCAUGAAUCGUUACAAAGAAAUCGCAGACAAGCUGUGUGCCGUUGAACAGGAUAUGGCUACAGGGGAAGACAAAGAGGGAACGCCCGUCAAAGAAACAGUCAGACAUUUAAUCCCACUAUUGCACGAUCCGAAAGUCACGUGAGAUAACGUUAAUUACAUUUAACUCAGUAUGCAUUAUYUUCAAUUGGUGCUUAUUCUGAGUUUUAAAUCUAUUUGUUGACAGCRACACUGAUAAAAUACGGAUGAUCCUGCUCUACAUUUUAUUCAAAAAUGGAAUUAGCGAGGAAAAUCUGGAGAAAUUUUUUGAACAUGGGAACAUCUCAAUAAAWGAAAGAUCAGCCAUCUUAAACAUGGUUCACUUGGGGGUACCCGUMACGCUCGAGGUCAUGUGAUUUUAAUUCAAAAUUGUAUUCGUAAAUGAAACUUUC